UCAGAGUCGUGUGCCUUUGGGAUUGGGGCAGGAAGCUGCUGUCCCUAUCUCCUGGACAGAGAUAUUUUCUGGGAAGACAGUGACCCAUGAGGACAUCUGCUAUGAGCAGGCCUGCAUCCUUUAUAAUUUGGGAGCACUCCAUUCAAUGUUGGGAGCCAUGGACAACAGGGUGUCCGAAGAGGGAAUGAAAGUAUCUUGCACACACUUCCAGUGCUCGGCUGGAGCGUUCACCUACCUGAGAGAUCACUUCAGCCACAACUUCAGUGUGGACAUGAGUCACCAGAUCCUCAAUCUCAACAUCAACCUCAUGCUGGGUCAGGCCCAAGAGUGCCUGUUGGAAAAAUCUAUGUUGGACAA